GCAUUCGUGGUGUAGUGGUCAGCAUGCUCGACGCGUAACCGAGAGGUCCGUGGUUCGAUUCCCGGCGAAGGCG
rnacentral:tRNA from 1 species